rnacentral:rRNA from 1 species
AUACGUAGAGAGCAAGCGUUGUCCGGAAUUACUGGGCGUAAAGGGUACGCAGGCGGAUAUGCAAGUCAAAUGUGAAAUCCAGCGGCUUAACCGUUGAAUAGCAUUUGAAACUGUAUAUCUUGAGUGCAGGAGAGGAAAGCGGAAUUCCUGGUGUAGUGGUGGAAUACGUAGAUAUCAGGAAGAACACCAGUGGCGAAGGCGGUUUUCUGGCCUGCAACUGACGCUGAGGUACGAAAGCUGGGGGAUCGAACGGGAUUAGAUACCCCGGUAGUCCCAGCUGUAAACGCUGGAUACUAGGUGUUGGUGGUUCGAAUCCAUCAGUGCCGGAGUUAACGCGAUAAGUAUCCCGCCUGGGGAAUACGGUCGCAAGACUGAA